AUUGAACGCUGGCGGCAGGCCUAACACAUGCAAGUCGAACGGUAGCACAGGAGAGCUUGCUCUCUGGGUGACGAGUGGCGGACGGGUGAGUAAUGCAUGGGGAGCUGCCCAAUCGAGGGGGAUACCAGCUGGAAACGGCUGCUAAUACCGCAUACGCCCUGAGGGGGAAAGGUGGGGACCUUCGGGCCUACCGCGAUUGGAUGCACCCAUGUGGGAUUAGCUAGUUGGUGAGGUAACGGCUCACCAAGGCGACGAUCGCUAGAUGGUCUGAGAGGAUGACCAGCCACACUGGAACUGAGACACGGUCCAGACUCCUACGGGAGGCAGCAGUGGGUAAUAUUGCACAAUGGGGGAAACCCUGAUGCAGCCAUGCCGCGUGUGUGAAGAAGGCCUUCGGGUUGUAAAGCACUUUCAGUAGGGAGGAAGGGUUGAUGUCUAAUACGCAUCAACAUUGACGUUACCUACAGAAGAAGCACCGGCUAACUCCGUGCCAGCCGCCGCCGUAA
rnacentral:rRNA from 1 species